rnacentral:rRNA from 1 species
UACAGAGGGGGCAAGCGUUGUUCGGAAUUACUGGGCGUAAAGGGCGCGUAGGCGGCCUGCUAAGUCGAACGUGAAAUCCCCGAGCUCAACUCGGGAACUGCGUCCGAUACUGGCAGGCUUGAAUCCGGGAGAGGGAUGUGGAAUUCCAGGUGUAGCGGUGAAAUGCGUAGAUAUCUGGAGGAACACCGGUGGCGAAGGCGGCAUCCUGGACCGGUAUUGACGCUGAUGCGCGAAAGCCAGGGGAGCAAACGGG